rnacentral:rRNA from 1 species
UACGUAGGGGGCAAGCGUUGUCCGGAAUCAUUGGGCGUAAAGCGCGUGUAGGCGGUCCGGUAAGUACGCUGUGAAAGUCGGGGGCUCAACCCUCGGAUGCCGGUGGAUACUGUCGGGCUUGAGUACGGAAGAGGCGAGUGGAAUUCCUGGUGUAGCGGUGAAAUGCGCAGAUAUCAGGAGGAACACCAAUUGCGAAGGCAGCUCGCUGGGACGUUACUGACGCUGAGACGCGAAAGCGUGGGGAGCAAACAGG